rnacentral:misc_RNA from 1 species
ACUUGAAUCAAAGCUAAAUGAGGUUAAUCUCUCUCUCUCCUCCAUGUCUGACUUUCUGUGAAACUAUGUGAGUUGUAGGAAUGCUUUACUUUCCAUAAUUGAUAUAAGGAACCAAACAUAGUUUUAUCUCAAUGAUAUAUUCUUUCAAUCUGAUGACUAGGUCAUUAUUUUUGCAUAUGUGCAUUUUAUAGCUUGCAAGACAUGACUUGCUUACAUAGUAAAAGAAAUUAUCUAAAUCGUGAUAGUCUUUUUGGUAAGUCUUUGUAGCUCUUUCUACUUAAUUUAUUUAUUUUGGAAUUUAUGGUAUAUGCAUGUUUAAAUGAUACAAGCAUGAUGCACAUAUGUGUGUGCGUCAUGUGUGUAUAUAUAGUGUUUUAUGUAGGUGGCAACUGACAUUAAGUUUAUAUGGGCCUUUUCCAAUAAAAUAUAAUGCGUUUCUUGGGUUUCCCAUGCAGGCUGAAUCUACUAUUUCAAU